GGCCUUGACAUACUAAGAACUUUCAGAGAUGGAUUGGUGCCUUCGGGAACUUAGAUACAGGUGCUGCAUGGCUGUCGUCAGCUCGUGUCGUGAGAUGUUGGGUUAAGUCCCGCAACGAGCGCAACCCUUUUCCUUAUUUGCCAGCGGGUCAUGCCGGGAACUUUAAGGAUACUGCCAGUGACAAACUGGAGGAAGGCGGGGACGACGUCAAGUCAUCAUGGCCCUUACGGCCAGGGCUACACACGUGCUACAAUGGUCGGUACAAAGGGUUGCUACCUCGCGAGAGGAUGCUAAUCUCAAAAAGCCGAUCGUAGUCCGGAUCGCAGUCUGCAACUCGACUGCGUGAAGUCGGAAUCGCUAGUAAUCGCGGAUCAGAAUGCCGCGGUGAAUACGUUCCCGGGCCUUGUACACACCGCCCGUCACACCAUGGGAGUUUGUUGCACCAGAAGUAGGUAGUCUAACCGCAAGGAGGACGCUUACCACGGUGUGGCCGAUGACUGGGGUGAAGUCGUAACAAGGUAAGCGUAGAUGA
rnacentral:rRNA from 1 species